ACGCUGGCGGCAGGCUUAACACAUGCAAGUCGAACGGUAACAGGGAUUAGCUUGCUAAUUUGCUGACGAGUGGCGGACGGGUGAGUAAUGCUUGGGAAUCUGGCUUAUGGAGGGGGAUAACUACGGGAAACUGUAGCUAAUACCGCGUAAAAUCUUAGGAUUAAAGGGUGGGACUUUCGAGCCACCUGCCAUAAGAUGAGCCCAAGUGGGAUUAGGUAGUUGGUUAGGUAAAGGCUGACCAAGCCGACGAUCUCUAGCUGGUCUGAGAGGAUGGCCAGCCACACUGGAACUGAGACACGGUCCAGACUCCUACGGGAGGCAGCAGUGGGGAAUAUUGCACAAUGGGGGGAACCCUGAUGCAGCCAUGCCGCGUGAAUGAAGAAGGCCUUCGGGUUGUAAAGUUCUUUCGGUGACGAGGAAGGUUGAUAGGUUAAUAGCCUAUCAAAUUGACGUUAAUCACAGAAGAAGCACCGGCUAACUCCGUGCCAGCAGCCGCGGUAAUACGGGGGGUGCGAGCGUUAAUCGGAAUAACUGGGCGUAAAGGGCACGCAGGCGGUGACUUAAGUGAGAUGUGAAAGCCCCGAGCUUAACUUGGGAAUUGCAUUUCAUACUGGGUCGCUAGAGUACUUUAGGGAGGGGUAGAAUUCCACGUGUAGCGGUGAAAUGCGUAGAGAUGUGGAGGAAUACCGAAGGCGAAGGCAGCCCCUUGGGAAUGUACUGACGCUCAUGUGCGAAAGCGUGGGGAGCAAACAGGAUUAGAUACCCUGGUAGUCCACGCUGUAAACGAUGUCGAUUUGGGGAUUGGGCUUUGAGCUUGGUGCCCGUAGCUAACGUGAUAAAUCGACCGCCUGGGGAGUACGGCCGCAAGGUUAAAACUCAAAUGAAUUGACGGGGGCCCGCACAAGCGGU
rnacentral:rRNA from 1 species